AAUUUUGCGCAAUGGGCGAAAGCCUGACGCAGCAACGCCGCGUGUGUGACGAAGCCCCUCGGGGUGUAAAACACUGUCAGUAGGGACGAAAUUUGACGGUACCUACAGAGGAAGCACCGGCUAACUCCGUGCCAGCAGCCGCGGUAAUACGGAGGGUGCAAGCGUUGUCCGGAAUCAUUGGGCGUAAAGAGUUCGUAGGCGGCAUGUCAAGUCUGGUGUUAAAUCCUGAGGCUCAACCUCAGACCGGCACUGGAUACUGGCAAGCUUGAAUGCGGUAGAGGUAAAGGGAAUUCCUGGUGUAGCGGUGAAAUGCGUAGAUAUCAGGAAGAACACCGGUGGCGUAAGCGCUUUACUGGGCCGUUAUUGACGCUGAGGAACGAAAGCCGGGGGAGCAAAUGGG
rnacentral:rRNA from 1 species